rnacentral:misc_RNA from 1 species
GAUGAAGAACGUAGCGAAAUGCGAUAAGUAAUGCGAAUUGCAGAAUUCAGUGAAUCAUCGAAUCUUUGAACGCACAUUGCGCCCGCUAGUAUUCUGGCGGGCAUGCCUGUCUGAGCGUCAUUUCAACCCUCGCCCCCGGCUUCUGCUGGGAGCGGUGUUGGGGAUCGGCCGCCCGUCACUGGGAGGCCGGCCCCGAAAUAGAGUGGCGACCACGCCGUGUGCUCCUCUGCGUAGUAGUAAAUCACCUCGCAGGCGGACAGCGGUGCGGCCUGCCGUAAAACCCCCAACUCUUUCUAAGGUUGACCUCAGAUCAGGUAGGAAUACCCGCUGAACUUAAGCAUAUCAAUAAGCGGAGGA